GCGCAACUGUGUGAAUUCUUCGUGUGCAGAGCUAGUCGGACACAUUGUGUGAAAUCGUUUAUUUUACCAUCAUAGUUUUCAAACCUAAGAUAUGAUAUGUGUGCAUGUGAUUUCCACUGGAUAAUUGAAAUUUAAAAAAAAAACUAGACGGCGAAAAGUAAAGUGUUUACAAAUGGAUGGAAAUGAAACACGCUGAAACCGUUUUCAUCAUCGUUCCCUCAACCAGAAUCAAAACAAUCAUGUAUCUAAGCUACCGCCUUGUUUUGAAGUUCGGGAAUAGCAAGGGAAUGGCAACACCUCAAAGACUACUUUCUACUCUAUGCGGUGAUGGAACACCAAAACGUGACUCGACAAGCACUGGCUAUAAAAAGAACUACAAAAAUAUGAAAGAACUGAGUGUACACAAGUAUAUACUUAACUGACAACAUGAAUAGUACAGCUCAGUGGGGCCUGAUUCGGUAAGAACGAUAUCAGACUUCUUUUCGGUUCGAAUUCUUCCUUUCGAUUGUUACCGAUGUCCCAUCGCAUUUGGUAGUCAGAAGUUGUUUGGAUGCAUCAGUUUUACAAACCACUAAGAGAAACAGAAAACUAUGAUUAAAACACCGCUUUGACGAAGUGUCUGGCUGCAAGGUUAAAAUCUAGACUUCUUACGUAAGACUGACUAACGGACUGUCUGCUAUGGGUAAUCAAAAAAUCACCGAAUUCCAACCCCAUUAGUUUCUUAGUUUUUGAAAUAUCUAAAGAGCUUGAAAUUUAAGUACCACCUUUCGAAACUCUACCAGAAAACCAGAUCUUCAAAUGAGCUUCAGCAAAAUCUUAGCAAGCAUGUCAUAUGUAUAUAUAUAUAUAUGGAACCUGAUCUACACUUAGUUACACAGUAGUUAAACUAGGACAAAAUGGACCGCGCCCUCAUACGUAGGACUGACUAUUCUGUUAUUGGUAACCAAUAAGUCACUGAAAGCCAAGCAUUGACCGACAACGGUUGUUGUGCCAAAAGAAGAAGAAUAAGUUAGGCAAACUACUAGGCACUACUAGAAAAACUAGGCAAAAAACUGUUAUGCUACUUUGUAAGAAAAUAAUGUAAUAGAGCACAAAUUAGUUGUUCUAAUUCAAAAAAGGCUUAGUGGGUCUAAAGCAACUACGGUUAAACCUAGUAGGCGAGAAACAAGAAAACAGAAAUGUUGUUCAUUAUAUUCCGUGAAGAAUAAAACAAAUACCACACAUUGUAAACUGAUGAAACACUCACAUUUAUU